UCUCUCUCCCUCUCUCUCUCUCUCCAGCAUCAGAAGCAAGCCAACAUGGGACAAAAAGAAUUCCUGGAAUAGAAACUACAGAGAACACCAGCAUUUCAUACAGAAAAAAAUGUCAUAUUUGUUUUUCUUCUGCCUCUGUUGAGCGAGUCUUCCAUGGAAAAGCAAAGUUGUCGAGGGAAAAAAGGGGAUGGGCCUUUCAACAAAAUGUUGCAGUAUGAAGUUCUCCUGUUUACCAUUCUAGCCAGCCAGCUAACCAGAACCAACUCCAGGAUACAGCAUUCCAUUCCAUCUUCUGUCUUAGUCCUCACUGAGGUUUUCCUGUAAAGUGUUUUUUUGGGGGGGUAUGUUCAGAAAACCUGGGCUUUCCCUGAGCUUGCUAUAACCUCCCUCUUGUGUACGACAGAGAGAUACACUGUUUGGGCUGCAUAAGAUACGGCACUUACACCUGAACAUCAGAAAUAGAGGGAAUGAUUGCUGCCUUUGGCUAGUGGAGGAUGGUCCAUGAGGGCACAUGGGGCACUACCUCCCGAACCCCAGCCUUGGUUACUCCAAGCCCACCUGCCUUUGUUCUUACAACCAGUCUAAAGAGUGGCCCUACCUGCCUGCUUCCUGCUCAGUCUCAGUUUUCUCCUUGUAAAACUCAGCAGGGAGGAGGAUGGAGACAAAAGUAGGACUUAAUGUAAGAGAGUGUAGAGCAAUCAUGUCCCCCCUCCUCAUAUAUCUUUAAAUGAAAGAACAAACACCUUCUUAGUUUUCAAAACACUGUGGGACAGGCAACUGUAGGGUAACUAAUACAGCGGCUGGAAUUGAACAUUCAGCAAUGUCUCAAGGGGGGGAAGUUAUUCCUGCUGGGAGGAAGGGCGGGAUAUAAAUCAAAUAAUAAAUAAAUAAAUAAAAUUUCCAUCCUGUUCUCAUCUGUAAAAUGGCUAUAUCAUCUGCCCUCUGAUUGCAAAGAAAUCUCUCAUGUGCACAGACAUCUCAAAUCAAUAAAAAGGAGCAUAGGAAAUUGCUUUAUACAAAGUCAGAUCACUGGUCUAUCUAGAUCAGUAUUGUUUACACUGACUGGCAGUGGAUGUC